rnacentral:rRNA from 1 species
GCGGCGAGUGGCGAACGGGUGAGUAAUAUAUCGGAACGUACCCUGGAGUGGGGAUAACGUAGCGAAAGUUACGCUAAUACCGCAUACGAUCCAAGGAUGAAAGCAGGGGACCGCAAGGCCUUGUGCUCCUGGAGCGGCCGAUAUCUGAUUAGCUAGUUGGUGGGGUAAAGGCCUACCAAGGCAUCGAUCAGUAGCUGGUCUGAGAGGACGACCAGCCACACUGGAACUGAGACACGGUCCAG